rnacentral:rRNA from 1 species
UCAAGCUGGAAAGAGCGCAAGGGGAAUGCCUUGGCAUCAGGAGCCGAAGAAGGACGUGACAAGCUGCGAUAAGCUUCGGGGAGCCGCACAUAGGCUUUGAUCCGGAGAUUUCCGAAUGGGGAAACCCGGCAGAGCAAUACUCUGUCAUCCUGCGUUGAAUCAAAUAGGCGUAGGAAGGGAACCGCCUGAACUGAAACAUCUAAGUAGGGCGAGGAAAAGACAUCAACCGAGAUUCCGCAAGUAGUGGCGAGCGAACGCGGAAGAGGCCAAACCGAGGGAUUUAUUCCUCGGGGUUGCGGACAGUCAUUUAGCGGAAGUUAUCUAGGAGAAGGGUCUGGGAAGGCCCGCCACAGAGGGUGAGAGCCCCGUAUCCGAAAGAGAAGGCCGUGCGACUGAAUCCAGAGUACCGCGGGACACGUGAAACCCCGUGGGAAACAGGGGGGACCACCCUCCAAGCCUAAAUACUACCUGAUGACCGAUAGAGGAGCAGUACCGUGAGGGAAAGGUGAAAAGGACCCCGGGAGGGGAGUGAAAGAGAACCUGAAACCUUGUGCUUACAAGCACUCAAAGCACGUUAAGGUGUGAUGAGGUACUUUUUGUAGAACGGUCCGGCGAGUUAUAGUAACGAGCAAGCUUAAGGUAUUGAGUACCGGAGGCGAAGCGAGAGCGAGUCUGAAUAGGGCGUAAAGUUCGUUGCCAUAGACCCGAAACCGGGUGACCUACCCAUGAGCAGGUUGAAGUGGGGGUGAAACCCCAUGGAGGACCGAACCGACCCCCGUUGCAAUGGUGGCGGAUGACUUGUGGGUAGCGGUGAAAUUCCAAUCGAACUCGGAGAUAGCUGGUUCUCCCCGAAAUAGCUUUAGGGCUAGCGUUAUGUUAGAUUACCGGAGGUAAAGCACUGAAUGGUAGCGGGGCCGAUAAGGUUACCAACGCCUAUCAAACUAAGAAUGCCGGCUAAUUGAUGCAUAGCAGUCAGACAGUGUGAGAUAAGUUUCAUUGUCAAAAGGGAAACAGCCCAGACCUACAGCUAAGGUCCCAAAUGUAUGCUAAGUGGAAAACGAUGUGGAGUUGCGAAAACAACCAGGAUGUUGGCUUAGAAGCAGCCACUCAUUAAAAGAGUGCGUAAUAGCUCACUGGUCGAGUGACUCUGCGCGGAAAAUGUAACGGGGCUAAGCAUCUAACCGAAGCUUAGGAUUGUCGUAAGACAGUGGUAGGGGAGCGUUCCAUGUGGGGUGAAGUCGCAGCGGAAGCAGCGGUGGACUGCAUGGAAGUGAGAAUGCCGGAAUGAGUAGCGAGAAUUAUGUGGGAAUCAUAAUGGCCGAAAAUCUAAGGUUUCUUGGGGAAGGUUCGUCCGCCCAAGGUAAGCCGGGAGCUAAGGCGAGGCCGAAAGGCGUAGUCGAUGCACAUACGGUAGAAAUUCCGUAGCCACCGAACUUUAAGUCAGAGGGACACUUUUGGAUAGCGGAACCCGGGCGUUGGUUGACCCGGGCGAAAGGGAGCGAAAAUAUAGUAGCGAAGUCCGCGAUGCUGAGAGGCGAGAAAAGCUCUGAUGGAUACUAAGGUGCCCGUACCGCAAACCGACACAGGUAGAUGAGGAGAGAAUCCUAAGGCCAACGGGAGAAGGGUUGUUAAGGAACUCGGCAAGUUGACCCCGUAACUUCGGAAUAAGGGGUGCUCAUGAAAGUGAGCCGCAGAGAAUAGGCCCAGGCAACUGUUUACCAAAAACACAGGUUUGUGCUAAAUCGAAAGAUGACGUAUACGAGCUGACGCCUGCCCGGUGCUGGAAGGUUAAGAGGAGAUGUGCAAGCAUUGAAUCGAAGCCCCAGUGAACGGCGGCCGUAACUAUAACGGUCCUAAGGUAGCGAAAUUCCUUGUCAGGUAAGUUCUGACCCGCACGAA